rnacentral:piRNA from 1 species
UGAAAAUUCAUUGGUGAGAGACAGCGCCUA